rnacentral:rRNA from 1 species
UACAGAGGGGGCAAGCGUUGUUCGGAAUUACUGGGCGUAAAGGGCGCGUAGGAGGGCAGGUAAGUCAGUGGUGAAAUCUCCGAGCUUAACUUGGAAACUGCCGUUGAUACUAUCUGCCUUGAAUAUUGUGGAGGUGAGCGGAAUAUGUCAUGUAGCGGUGAAAUGCUUAGAUAUGACAUAGAACACCAAUUGCGAAGGCAGCUCACUACACAAAGAUUGACACUGAGGCACGAAAGCGUGGGGAUCAAACAGG